rnacentral:rRNA from 1 species
AUGUACAUUCCUACAACAUAGCGUUAAUGCAUUGGAUCCCAUUAGAACUACGUAUUUAAGCAUGAUCAGGCUGGAGUAGUAAUAGGAUGGGUGACCACCUGGGAAGUCCUAGUGUUUUACAUG